GGGACUAAGGGGGCCACCUGCAGACACACCCUGGCUUCUGCGGGACCGGUCUUCCUUCUCUUCCCCCUCAGGGCCUAGAGGAGGCCACGCGCGGGGUCUCCGAGCUCUAGGGUCCGGAGCUCUAGGGUCCUUUUAUGUAGCAAAGUCAGGCCUGGGAACAGAACUUCAUGUGCUUGUAAAAAGUCUCAGGUGCGUCCUUCGUUGUUUUAGAGACUUGGAGAGGAAUGGGGGCGGGGGGAACAAAAUCCGAGGACAGUCGAGCCAAGAAAAGUCAGGGCUUCUAGGAUGCCAACCACGCCAAACAGAUCAAAACCAGGACUGGAGGAUUGAAGAUGAAGCCGGCAAAAAGUCACCAGCCACGGCUCUUGUAAGGUAUGCUUCACCUCUCCUGCUAAGUCUUCAUCCCUGUCUAUGAGGACAAAGAAGUUACGGGUUAAAUUGGCGAUGGGCCAGGUGCUCCUUGAGGAUGCUCUAAAGAGGACCUGGGUUCGAUUCCUAGCACUGACAUUGUGACUCACAGCCUCCUGUAAUUUCAGUUCCAGGGAAUCUGAUGCCUUCUUCUAACCAUCACGAAGACAAGUUGGUGAUAGAAAAUGGGAGAACUGAAGACAACCACUUUAUAAAACCCUUGCCUGCUUGAAUUUGUGGUGAUG
ensembl:processed_transcript